UGAGUAGCGGCGAGCGAAACGGGAAGAGCCCAAACCAACAAGCUUGCUUGUUGGGGUUGUAGGACACUCUGUACGGAGUUACAAAGGACGAUAUUAGACGAAUCAUCUGGAAAGAUGAAUCAAAGAAGGUAACAAUCCUGUAGUUGAAAAUAUUGUCUCUCUUGAGUGGAUCCUGAGUACGACGGAGCACGUGAAAUUCCGUCGGAAUCUGGGAGGACCAUCUCCUAAGGCUAAAUACUCUCUAGUGACCGAUAGUGAACCAGUACCGUGAGGGAAAGGUGAAAAGCACCCCGGAAGGGGAGUGAAAUAGAACCUGAAACCGUGUGCUUACAAGUAGUCAGAGCCCGUUAAUGGGUGAUGGCGUGCCUUUUGUAGAAUGAACCGGCGAGUUACGAUUUGAUGCAAGGUUAAGCAGUAAAUGUGGAGCCGUAGCGAAAGCGAGUCUGAAUAGGGCGUUUAGUAUUUGGUCGUAGACCCGAAACCAGGUGAUCUACCCUUGGUCAGGUUGAAGUUCAGGUAACACUGAAUGGAGGACCGAACCGACUUACGUUGAAAAGUGAGCGGAUGAACUGAGGGUAGCGGAGAAAUUCCAAUCGAACCUGGAGAUAGCUGGUUCUCUCCGAAAUAGCUUUAGGGCUAGCCUCAAGUGAUGAUUAUUGGAGGUAGAGCACUGUUUGGACGAGGGGCCCUUCUCGGGUUACCGAAUUCAGACAAACUCCGAAUGCCAAUUAAUUUAACUUGGGAGUCAGAACAUGGGUGAUAAGGUCCGUGUUCGAAAGGGAAACAGCCCAGACCACCAGCUAAGGUCCCAAAAUAUAUGUUAAGUGGAAAAGGAUGUGGCGUUGCCCAGACAACUAGGAUGUUGGCUUAGAAGCAGCCAUCAUUUAAAGAGUGCGUAAUAGCUCACUAGUCGAGUGACACUGCGCCGAAAAUGUACCGGGGCUAAACAUAUUACCGAAGCUGUGGAUUGUCCUUUGGACAAUGGUAGGAGAGCGUUCUAAGGGCGGUGAAGCAUGAUCGCAAGGACAUGUGGAGCGCUUAGAAGUGAGAAUGCCGGUGUGAGUAGCGAAAGACGGGUGAGAAUCCCGUCCACCGAUUGACUAAGGUUUCCAGAGGAAGGCUCGUCCGCUCUGGGUUAGUCGGGUCCUAAGCUGAGGCCGACAGGCGUAGGCGAUGGAUAACAGGUUGAUAUUCCUGUACCACCUAUAAUCGUUUUAAUCGAUGGGGGGACGCAGUAGGAUAGGCGAAGCGUGCGAUUGGAUUGCACGUCUAAGCAGUAAGGCUGAGUACUAGGCAAAUCCGGUACUCAUUAAGGCUGAGCUGUGAUGGGGAGAAGACAUUGUGUCUUCGAGUCGUUGAUUUCACACUGCCGAGAAAAGCCUCUAGAUAGAAAAUAGGUGCCCGUACCGCAAACCGACACAGGUAGUCAAGAUGAGAAUUCUAAGGUGAGCGAGCGAACUCUCGUUAAGGAACUCGGCAAAAUGACCCCGUAACUUCGGGAGAAGGGGUGCUCUUUAGGGUUAACGCCCAGAAGAGCCGCAGUGAAUAGGCCCAAGCGACUGUUUAUCAAAAACACAGGUCUCUGCUAAACCGUAAGGUGAUGUAUAGGGGCUGACGCCUGCCCGGUGCUGGAAGGUUAAGAGGAGUGGUUAGCUU
rfam:Staphylococcus simiae CCM 7213 contig00456, whole genome shotgun sequence.